UCUAAAUAAUAAAAAAAACGAUAAAAGUCUAACAUGAAAAAAUAU
rnacentral:guide_RNA from 1 species